rnacentral:tRNA from 1 species
GCAUCAUUCGUAUAUUGACUUAUUAUAUCGCGCUUCCAACGCGAGGAACGGGGUUUGAUUCCCCGAUGAUGCUCCA